rnacentral:rRNA from 1 species
UCUCCUGGAAACGGGUGGUAAUGCCGGAUGCUCCAUCACACUGCAUGGUGUGUUGGGAAAGCCUUUGCGGCAUGGGAUGGGGUCGCGUCCUAUCAGCUUGAUGGCGGGGUAACGGCCCACCAUGGCUUCGACGGGUAGCCGGCCUGAGAGGGCGACCGGCCACAUUGGGACUGAGAUACGGCCCAGACUCCUACGGGAGGCAGCAGUGGGGAAUAUUGCACAAUGGGCGCAAGCCUGAUGCAGCGACGCCGCGUGAGGGAUGGAGGCCUUCGGGUUGUAAACCUCUUUUGUUAGGGAGCAAGGCAUUUUGUGUUGAGUGUACCUUUCGAAUAAGCACCGGCUAACUACGUGCCAGCAGCCGCGGUAAUACGUAGGGUGCAAGCGUUAUCCGGAAUUAUUGGGCGUAAAGGGCUCGUAGGCGGUUCGUCGCGUCCGGUGUGAAAGUCCAUCGCUUAACGGUGGAUCCGCGCCGGGUACGGGCGGGCUUGAGUGCGGUAGGGGAGACUGGAAUUCCCGGUGUAACGGUGGAAUGUGUAGAUAU